rnacentral:rRNA from 1 species
UACGUAGGGUGCGAGCGUUGUCCGGAAUUACUGGGCGUAAAGAGCUCGUAGGUGGUUUGUCGCGUUGUUCGUGAAAACCGGGGGCUUAACCUUCGGCGUGCGGGCGAUACGGGCAGACUGGAGUACUGCAGGGGAGACUGGAAUUCCUGGUGUAGCAGUGAAAUGCGUAGAUAUCAGGAGGAACACCGAUGGCGAAGGCAGGUCUCUGGGCUGACACUGACGCUCAUGCACGAAAGCGUGGGGAGCAAACAGG